rnacentral:lncRNA from 1 species
GGACACCCAGAGAUUUGCUCUGGACACCCAGCCGCUUCAGCCUUAGAACUCCUCCUCCGCUGGGAACCAUCUCCGCCAGCCCCGCAUUGCUUCCGCUAGCAGCCAGCCCGCUCAACAGCUCCAAAACCUCCGCUGAGCACCAAGUCAGCUAGCUACAACACCGCUAGGGGACACCGGCGGUAAAAGCUCCGCCAGCCACUUAGCCACCUCCGCCGGCAGGCCUCCGCUAGGCUACACCGCCAAACAAGCUCCGCCAAACAAGCUCCGCCGAGCAUCACCGCUGGCCACGUCCGCUGGACUUCAUCGCUGCACAGCCUCCGAAACCCCCGAGCUGAGCCUCACUGCUAGCUAGAACUCCGCUAGCUCGAUUCCGCCGGAUAACUAGCUAGCCAUCACCGCUGAACUCGGAGCCUCCACCAGGCUCCAGGUCCGUCGAACUUCAUCAGCGGGAAACAAGCUCUGCCAGCCACGUUUCCGCCGAGCUCCGUCAGCGACAACCCAGUCCACCAACGGGCCUUCCGCUAGCUAUCCUCAGCGGCGGCGCACCGCUGCACCCCAGUUCAGCCGGCCAACCUCCGCCACGAUCCUCCGCCGAGCUACAGGCCACCAACCAUCACCUCUCGCACAGCUCCGCUCCGCCGAGUUUCCUCCGCUAGCCAGCUCGGCCGGCAAAGCUCCGCUGCACUCCAGCUCCAUUGCACGCCAGCUCCGUUGAGCUCCAAGAACCGCCGAGCUCGGAGCCUCCGCUGGGCAUGGCUCCGCUGAGUUCCGAGUCCACCAAACUCCGGAGUCUCCACCACCGCUGACCAUCAUCACCGCUAGCAUAGCCCAGCUUCACCUACUCACCUACUCUCAGUCGGCGGCAACGGCGGAAAGCCAGUCAGCGGCACUUUCUUCCGCUGACCUCCAUCAGCUGCAACCCACCUCCGCUGACUAAGCUUUGCCGGAGCAAAAUCUCCGCUGGGCAACCUCGUCCGAGCUCCUCCGCUGAGAUUUACCGCUUGGGAUGGACACCGCUGAGCUUCAACUCCGGACAACCUCCGCUGAGAUUCUCCUCCAGGCAACCCCCGCCAAGCCUCACCACUGAGCUUUCCCGCUGUGCUCUGUUCGCUGCACUGAGCUCAUCUGCACUUUUGCAGCAGACCCAACUCUCAUAAGUCUUUCUUAUCCCUUUAUUUGACUAUUCACGUGCCUAUGCCUUCACACAAUUUGCAGAAGCAUGAUUAAGCGA